AAUCCCACCCGGCCCCCAAGGAACUGACACUACGGCGGGACGUUCCCUCCACGCUGGUCAGCAGGUCCCUGGGGCGCAGCACGCAACGGCGCGGCACAGACCCAGACUUCUCCCCGGGUUACCUUGUUCACGCUCUCCAGAACACGCUUUGGACUUUCUCACUUUUAUUUAAGAGUCCGCCCCGGAGAAAGAGGGAAAAAAAAUCCAGAGGAGAUCCAAGUCAAUUGGAAAGAAAAAAAAAAAAAAAAUUCAAAAAGGUGUCCACAGCGGCGAAAAAAGACCAGACUGCACCGACCUUCAAACGACAGCAGAGCUUUCGGGAGGGUGCGGGGAGACCGUUUCCCACCCGGACCUCACCAGAAACCCGUGCACCCCCAACCAAAUUACUCUGCUUUUCACCAGAAAGGACUCCAACUCCACCACCCAGAGGCCCCCUUCCUGGUGCUGGACUAUCACAAAGGCCAUAGAGACCAUUAAUGGCCACCCCCCAACGUGGCAACUACCCACCCCCCGUACACACAUUCCUCCUAGUGCUUUAGAAGACACCUCUGGGGUCAAUAUGAUCGUGGCUAUGUUUCUCUUUCCUGGCCCAGCAAAUGACAGAUUGUCUUCACUGCACCGAUCAGGAGUUACCCCAACAUCCCUAGCAGCUCCCCGCUUUUAGCAACAGCUGCCUCUCCCAUUGGAAGCGUUCAAUAUGAAACUAGAUUAAAAUGAGGACUUGCCCUCCCAUUUUAGCUGUGGAA